rnacentral:rRNA from 2 species
GGGUUGUGAGGUUAAGCGACUAAGCGUACACGGUGGAUGCCCUGGCAGUCAGAGGCGAUGAAGGACGUGCUAAUCUGCGAUAAGCGUCGGUGAGGUGAUAUGAACCGUUAUAACCGGCGAUUUCCGAAUGGGGAAACCCAGUGUGUUUCGACACACUAUCAUUAACUGAAUCCAUAGGUUAAUGAGGCGAACCGGGGGAACUGAAACAUCUAAGUACCCCGAGGAAAAGAAAUCAACCGAGAUUCCCCCAGUAGCGGCGAGCGAACGGGGAGGAGCCCAGAGCCUGAAUCAGUGUGUGUGUUAGUGGAAGCGUCUGGAAAGGCGUGCGAUACAGGGUGACAGCCCCGUACACAAAAAUGCACAUAUUGUGAGCUCGAUGAGUAGGGCGGGACACGUGGUAUCCUGUCUGAAUAUGGGGGGACCAUCCUCCAAGGCUAAAUACUCCUGACUGACCGAUAGUGAACCAGUACCGUGAGGGAAAGGCGAAAAGAACCCCGGCGAGGGGAGUGAAAAAGAACCUGAAACCGUGUACGUACAAGCAGUGGGAGCCUCUUAAUGGGGUGACUGCGUACCUUUUGUAUAAUGGGUCAGCGACUUAUAUUCUGUAGCAAGGUUAACCGAAUAGGGGAGCCGAAGGGAAACCGAGUCUUAACUGGGCGUUAAGUUGCAGGGUAUAGACCCGAAACCCGGUGAUCUAGCCAUGGGCAGGUUGAAGGUUGGGUAACACUAACUGGAGGACCGAACCGACUAAUGUUGAAAAAUUAGCGGAUGACUUGUGGCUGGGGGUGAAAGGCCAAUCAAACCGGGAGAUAGCUGGUUCUCCCCGAAAGCUAUUUAGGUAGCGCCUCGUGAAUUCAUCUCCGGGGGUAGAGCACUGUUUCGGCAAGGGGGUCAUCCCGACUUACCAACCCGAUGCAAACUGCGAAUACCGGAGAAUGUUAUCACGGGAGACACACGGCGGGUGCUAACGUCCGUCGUGAAGAGGGAAACAACCCAGACCGCCAGCUAAGGUCCCAAAGUCAUGGUUAAGUGGGAAACGAUGUGGGAAGGCCCAGACAGCCAGGAUGUUGGCUUAGAAGCAGCCAUCAUUUAAAGAAAGCGUAAUAGCUCACUGGUCGAGUCGGCCUGCGCGGAAGAUGUAACGGGGCUAAACCAUGCACCGAAGCUGCGGCAGCGACACUAUGUGUUGUUGGGUAGGGGAGCGUUCUGUAAGCCUGUGAAGGUGGCCUGUGAGGGUUGCUGGAGGUAUCAGAAGUGCGAAUGCUGACAUAAGUAACGAUAAAGCGGGUGAAAAGCCCGCUCGCCGGAAGACCAAGGGUUCCUGUCCAACGUUAAUCGGGGCAGGGUGAGUCGACCCCUAAGGCGAGGCCGAAAGGCGUAGUCGAUGGGAAACAGGUUAAUAUUCCUGUACUUGGUGUUACUGCGAAGGGGGGACGGAGAAGGCUAUGUUGGCCGGGCGACGGUUGUCCCGGUUUAAGCGUGUAGGCUGGUUUUCCAGGCAAAUCCGGAAAACCAAGGCUGAGGCGUGAUGACGAGGCACUACGGUGCUGAAGCGACAAAUGCCCUGCUUCCAGGAAAAGCCUCUAAGCAUCAGGUAACAUCAAAUCGUACCCCAAACCGACACAGGUGGUCAGGUAGAGAAUACCAAGGCGCUUGAGAGAACUCGGGUGAAGGAACUAGGCAAAAUGGUGCCGUAACUUCGGGAGAAGGCACGCUGAUAUGUAGGUGAAGCGACUUGCUCGUGGAGCUGAAAUCAGUCGAAGAUACCAGCUGGCUGCAACUGUUUAUUAAAAACACAGCACUGUGCAAACACGAAAGUGGACGUAUACGGUGUGACGCCUGCCCGGUGCCGGAAGGUUAAUUGAUGGGGUUAGCGGCAACGCGAAGCUCUUGAUCGAAGCCCCGGUAAACGGCGGCCGUAACUAUAACGGUCCUAAGGUAGCGAAAUUCCUUGUCGGGUAAGUUCCGACCUGCACGAAUGGCGUAAUGAUGGCCAGGCUGUCUCCACCCGAGACUCAGUGAAAUUGAACUCGCUGUGAAGAUGCAGUGUACCCGCGGCAAGACGGAAAGACCCCGUGAACCUUUACUAUAGCUUGACACUGAACAUUGAGCCUUGAUGUGUAGGAUAGGUGGGAGGCUUUGAAGUGUGGACGCCAGUCUGCAUGGAGCCGACCUUGAAAUACCACCCUUUAAUGUUUGAUGUUCUAACGUUGGCCCGUAAUCCGGGUUGCGGACAGUGUCUGGUGGGUAGUUUGACUGGGGCGGUCUCCUCCUAAAGAGUAACGGAGGAGCACGAAGGUUGGCUAAUCCUGGUCGGACAUCAGGAGGUUAGUGCAAUGGCAUAAGCCAGCUUGACUGCGAGCGUGACGGCGCGAGCAGGUGCGAAAGCAGGUCAUAGUGAUCCGGUGGUUCUGAAUGGAAGGGCCAUCGCUCAACGGAUAAAAGGUACUCCGGGGAUAACAGGCUGAUACCGCCCAAGAGUUCAUAUCGACGGCGGUGUUUGGCACCUCGAUGUCGGCUCAUCACAUCCUGGGGCUGAAGUAGGUCCCAAGGGUAUGGCUGUUCGCCAUUUAAAGUGGUACGCGAGCUGGGUUUAGAACGUCGUGAGACAGUUCGGUCCCUAUCUGCCGUGGGCGCUGGAGAACUGAGGGGGGCUGCUCCUAGUACGAGAGGACCGGAGUGGACGCAUCACUGGUGUUCGGGUUGUCAUGCCAAUGGCACUGCCCGGUAGCUAAAUGCGGAAGAGAUAAGUGCUGAAAGCAUCUAAGCACGAAACUUGCCCCGAGAUG